CCCAAAACCCCGGAGCGGGGUUUCCCUGGCUUGGAGAAAGUCCUGCUGGGGGCUUUACUGGAGCCCACAGCCGCCGCGAGGCCAGGGGCCAGCGGGCCGGAGGGGGUUCCUGGAGACCCACAGACUUUCUCUGGGCUGAGUCCUGGAGUCGGCCCCUCCUUCCCGCCUCCCGCCCCUCCAGGCCCCUGCUGGGUCAUCUUUGAGCAUGCGUGACUUGGGACCGUGAGAGCUCCUGGGUAUGAGGCGGCCCCUUGGAGCAGAUCUGCGCCCCUGCCCAGUCCUACUUACUCACGAUUUCAGAAAGUCAACAAGUCAAAGUGCUCGCAGAGGAACAGGCUCAGGUCCCACAAGGCGUGUCAGCGUUAAACCAAAAGGGAACUGGCCCUGUGAGCAGGCUGGUUCUGGUCUGGGGGCCCCGGAUGUGCGGCCUGUGGAGGAGACACACGCGGAGGAUCCUUGGCAGACUCCAGAGACGCUUCACGUUGUCACUCUAGUCCGGUGGCAGUGGGGACGCUGUUCACACCUGCAUGCACUUAUCCUCUGUGUCCCUCCUCCAUCCCUCCUCCAUCCUGCCCUCCUGUCCUGGGAGGCACAGGUUUGCUCCUGGAGCUUAAGGACGGACCCCAGAGGACACAGUGCCAGUGACCACAUCAAGGGUGCACGCCCAGCUCAGCGCCACACCUGCUAGCCCUGAGGACCUGAAGGGUGUCAGGCUGGUGACUCCUGGGGCUCCCUGCUGACUGGACCUCCUGCAGAGGCCCUGGGGUCCUGACACCGAGCCUUGGGCAUGGAAGGACUGGGGCCUCAGGCGAGGAGUGUGGAUGCUGCCGUCACCUGUGUUCCCGACCCCAGACAGGGCGUGUGAGUCGUGAAUGAAGGAGGGAUGCGGGGGACCAGCACCCAGCCCGCCAGCUGUCUCUCCUCUUCCAGAGCCUGGUCCCCAACAGCACCUGGUGUGACUGACUGCUGCCUGGCCCUACCCGCCCCCGCCGCCGGCUCGGCAUUCUGAGCGAGGGGCGAGCGCUGCAUGAUGAAUGGCUGCAGAGCAAGGGGCACUGGCCAACGAGGGGAGGCCAGGUGCCACGGCAGGACGGUCUCAGAGAAGGGAGGUGUGCCUGGUCCUGGGCCCAUACGACCCAUGUGGGGGCCCCAGAUGACAGUGUUGACACUAGACACCAUUAAAAAAGUGUUUUAACCAA